AUACGAAGGGUGCGAGCGUUAAUCGGAAUUACUGGGCGUAAAGCGCGCGUAGGCGGUUGGAUAAGUCGGAUGUGAAAGCCCCGGGCUCAACCUGGGAAUUGCAUUCGAAACUGUCCGGCUAGAGUAUGGUAGAGGGAAGCGGAAUUCCACAUGUAGCGGUGAAAUGCGUAGAUAUGUGGAGGAACACCAGUGGCGAAGGCGGCUUCCUGGACCAAUACUGACGCUGAGGUGCGAAAGCGUGGGGAGCAAACAGGAUUAGAAACCCCAGUAGUCC
rnacentral:rRNA from 1 species